rnacentral:rRNA from 1 species
AUGCGUGUACGCAACUUCUUGUCAGUGCAAUGGUUAGAGCUAAUGGUCAUUGUUCCACUACGUCAACCACUUCUUGAGAACCCAGAUUCCUUGUGUGCCACCAUUUUGCGAGCUAAGUAUUUUCUUGAUGGAGAUUUCUUGAACGCAAAGUUAAAAAAGGGAUCAUCCUUUACAUGGCAAAGUAUUAUGGCGGGGAUUAAUACCUUAAAACAUGGCUAUAUUUGGCGUGUUGGAAAUGGUCAGAAAAUUGACAUUUGGGAAGAUGCUUGGAUCCCUAACUGUGCUAACAGGAAAGUCAUCACUCCAAAGGGACAACAUUUGUUAUCAAAAGUGUCCGAUCUCAUUGACCCCUCUUCGAAUAGGUGGGAUGAGGAUCUCAUCAGAUAGACCUUGUGGCCUGUUGAUUCACAGCGGAUCCUUGCUAUCCCUCUGCCUCAGUCUGAUAUGUUAAAUUUUGUUGCCUGGAGUCAUACUAAGAGUAGGUUUUUUCUGUUCGAUCUACAUAUUUUGUUGAGUGGGAUUAUCAACGUGGAAGGAAACUUCGUCGUACUAAUGGAAUGGCUCGAACAAACUUUAAUCCAAUUUGGUGUAAGAUUUGGAAGUUAUCUUGUCCAGCGAAGGUGA